rnacentral:rRNA from 1 species
GAUGAACGCUGGCGGCGUGCCUAAUACAUGCAAGUAGAACGCUGAAGGAGGAGCUUGCUCUUCUGGAUGAGUUGCGAACGGGUGAGUAACGCGUAGGUAACCUGCCUGGUAGCGGGGGAUAACUAUUGGAAACGAUAGCUAAUACCGCAUGACAACAGUUAUUGCAUGAUAACUGUUUAAAAGGGGCAACUGCUCCACUACCAGAUGGACCUGCGUUGUAUUAGCUAGUUGGUGAGGUAACGGCUCACCAAGGCGACGAUACAUAGCCGACCUGAGAGGGUGAGCGGCCACGCUGGGACUGAGACACGGCCCAGACUCCUACGGGAGGCAGCGGAAGGGAAUCUUGGGCAAGGGACGGAAGUCUGACCGAGCAACGCCGCGUGAGUGAAGAAGGUUUUCGGAUCGUAAAACUCUGUUGUAAGGGAAGAACGAGUGUGAGAGUGGAAAGUUCACACUGUGACGGUAUCUUACCAGAAAGGGACGGCUAACUACGUG